rnacentral:rRNA from 1 species
AAGGAAUAUUGGUCAAUGGACGCAAGUCUGAACCAGCCAUGCCGCGUGAAGGAUGAAGGUCCUCUGGAUUGUAAACUUCUUUUUUCUGGGACGAAAACGGGAUUUUUAUCUCAAUUGACGGUACCAGAGGAAUAAGCACCGGCUAACUCCGUGCCAGCAGCCGCGGUAAUACGGAGGGUGCGAGCGUUAUCCGGAUUUACUGGGUUUAAAGGGCGCGUAGGUGGGCUUAUAAGUCAGUGGUGAAAUCUCCGAGCUUAACUUGGAAACUGCCGUUGAUACUAUAGGUCUUGAAUUAUCUGGAGGUAAGCGGAAUAUGUCAUGUAGCGGGGAAAUGCUUAGAUAUGACAUAGAACACCAAUUGCGAAGGCAGCUUACUACAUAUAAAUUGACGCUGAGGCACGAAAGCGUGGGGAUCAAA